UCUCUGGCUUGGUUCACAGGCCACUGUGCAGCUGGGACAUGUGGAUGACAGAGGUGAGCUCCUGCUGCAGGGGACAACCACCCCGAAGUGGCGGAACAAGCAUUCCCAAAGCGCUGUGCUCUGCUGACCAGGUCUUGUCUUGAGCCUUCUUCCCCACAAUCCGCUGAAAGAACUAAAAAUGGAAAAAAAUAAAAGAGAGCAAAAAGGAAACAGGAAAACCUCAUAGGAGCGCUAAAGAGGAGGAGAAGGUACCACUGACAUAUGAGAAAUGUGAAACUUGGGGAAUGUGUGAAACAGAACGAACUAGAUUGAAGCAAAACUAGUCAGACUUGAAUAGCAGGUGAAGUUCGAGCCUCUUGAGAAAUUCCACAUAUAACAGAAGAAAGAAUGAAAAUAAAUUAACCCUGUCUGUCUUUGUCACCUAGUGGUCAUGUGGAGUGCUGUGUUAGGAAGGAGUCUGAAGAGUCUACAUUGUCCCUUGAAUAACAUGGGUUUGAACUACGUGGGUCCAGUUAUACAUGGACUUUUCUCAAUAAAUAUAUAAAAAAUAUGUGCAGAACAUCAUGUGCAAGAUUUGUAUUGAAGUGGAUAGCCCCUCCUUACACGGACAUAGGGCUCUCAGACGGAGGAUGUGGCAGUUGGUACCGACUGACCGAGACUGUGGUCCUGAGCCUGGAUCUCCUGCUCAUUCUCAUCCAGGACAGUGAUGACAGCCAUGGAAUGCUGCGUGCUGUUGCCGCAGGAGCCCUAUUACCACUGCCUGUUACAUCCUACGCAGAGGCCGUAUUCUGAGCUCGAGAGUUAGUGAAAUUCCGGAGAUGUACUGGGAUUCCAAACGGAAUGGGCUUUUCUCUGGAGCCUCAGGAAGAAGCAUGUGCGGGCGCUGCUGUUUGACAGCUCUCCUCGGCCACGGUGCCUUUCCUGUCCUGAUGUGAUCUUGCAAGAGGCACUGCUCACAGCUACUUGUGGAGACCACUUGUGGAGUCUUUAAAGAUGGGGAAAGAAUAAGCUUGUCAAGAGGAAAUGGAACACAUGUGAAAAAACAAGGAGACAAGCAAUGAUUAUAGAAAAGUCAACCUGAGCAUCGCGCUGAGCUUAAGGAGCCAAGCUGUGCCGCCGCCUCAGCGCAGCUGGGAUGUCUGCUCCCAACAGUCAGCUCUGCAGUCUCAAGGCACCGGGUUUCCCGUCUCGCAGGGAUCGCUGCUCUUCGCUGUCUGAUGUCCCGAGAGCCCGAGAAUGACUCGGACUCAAUCAAUUUCCCAUGGAGAAAAAUAAAGUUCUGAGACCAGAAUCGAAGAGGUGGUCAUUGCUUCAGAUCUGUCACUGCUUCUGAAACGGCUCAGUGAGCAGCAGGAUAAACUGAAAAAUAUGGCUUCCACCCACAUUCAAAAAAGCAGACCAAGAAUUUACUGCCUUGCCUGUCCGGGCUCAGGAUAGGAAACAGAAGCUGCUCCAGAGACGUAAAGUGGAAGUGAGUUAAGGCAGCAAUGAGGUCCUUACAAUCAGCGGAUGGAAGGGCCACAGACAUAGGUUCUGAGGUGGACCUUCUGGGACAACCGCCAAAGCGUCCCAGACCCGACUCACCAGGAACUCCCACCUCUGAGGAAAAACAGACAUGUUCACUGACAUGAGUUUGCUGGGCAAAUGGGCUCCAUGGCGUUGCUGGCGCUGAAAUGUGGAUGCGGCUGGCAGUUUAGGAGGACUCAAGGUGGGUUAUCUGCUCAGAGCAGAGGAGCAUGGUGUGGUGUGGAGGGGUAGGUGCUGUUCCUGUCCGUCCAGGCAGCCCCUCCACGUGUUCACCAGACGUGAUUCUCCGGCUUCAGAGCUGGACAUGGAUCCACAUCAGGCCAGUCUGACGUCUCAGCUCAGGAAUGAGACCCUUGACAAAGGACCCGAAGGGACUGAAGAUAGACCUGAAGCAUUUCGUGGCAGCCUUUGAGGCAGUUAUUUGGUAAUUAUGCUUUAAGGAAAUGCCCACGUGUCCUACAGUGAUUCCCGGGCAUGUCCCGAUUCCUGUCCUUUCUGAAGCACAGUUGUGCAAAAAUAUAAAUGUGUAUUUCAAGGCUGGUUGAAGACACUGGCCUUUGUCCUCAUCCAUAAGUGUAUCAGAAGCACUUGGGGAGCUGCUAAAAACCUCAUGAGUUAGUGCUACACCCUGGUGGUUGCGAUUUAAUGCGUCUGCUGGAUAGAGUGCGACUCAGGAGUGCGUAUUUUGAACAUUCUCUGGCGUGGUUCUAGUGUUCACCUAGUUGGUCAUUGAUCAUUCACCCACGUGAAUCAUUAGCCUGACAUGGAUAGCGCUGCGAUCUCUCCACGGAAACUGAAGACAGGAGUUAUCAUGGUUCACGAGGAAGCCAUGGAAGGUUUUUAAUAAGCGGGAUGUGGAGUGAGUCCAUUGGACUUGCAUUUUUAAAAGUCAUUCGUGUGCUCUCGGGAGUAUUGACUGGAGAGAGGCAAGAAGAAGGAAGAAAGAGAUCAGCUGGGAAGCUAUUGCUAGAACAGACCAGGCGAGAGAAGAUGCUGGCUUGAACUGAGAAGGUGGAAAUGGAGGUGCGGAGAAGUGGACAGGUUCAAGUCUAGGAAACAAGGUCUCAGCGCCUGAGUCUGGCAUUCUGGGCAUCCUUUAUUGUCUUCACCUACAGCCUCACGUGGAACUCUCUACCUUACAUGCUUUAUGAUCCCUCCGGGUACAGGCUGGCUUUUAUCCAGCUUCCCCUGCAAGGCGGGCCUUGCUUAUAUUCAUCGUAUUUCCUUGUCCAACCAUCGGGGAAAGACCACGGUCAGAGAUUGACCUACCCUGUGACUGAGUUUUGCAAUGAAACCUUAUCAGGUUGUUAUCCACCAUGGCAACUGGGCACCUUAACAUUAGAUGGAGGAAACAGAAUAUGCUACCAAAGGAUGUGCUGACUGGAUAAAAAGACACUGUGAUGCUGAGAGCUGGCUUUGAAGUUAAGAAAACUUUGGAUACAGCUUUACUUCCAACAGGUCACAGAGAUGUUGGAGGAGGCUGUCAAAAAGACAUGACCUCUACUGACCUGCCAGCUGGCCCCUGGCGUUGGAGGCUUCCCGACCCCCUCUCCUGUUCUUGGAACUUGUAUCUACUUGCUUUCCCGCUCCCAGAAGCUGCUCCAAGGAUACAGCCUUGAAAUAGAAACAUGGUGUUGAAGCUAUUAGGGUGAGUACACAACUGAACUCUGUUAAGGUCUCUAUAUAAACUUUCAAGAUUCUGGCAGGUGGGUACGGAGAUCAGCUCAUCUUACAGCUGCUCAAGACAAGCCUCAUGCAAAUUCCUUUGUUUAUUAAACCUUCCACCUACCAAUUUGGGGUGACCUGCCUCUUCCUUUGGUCUCUCCCUGCCCUCUGUGUACUGAGCGGUGGGAGGAGGGAGGGUGUCAUUUCAGAUUAUAUCCAGGCAGCUCCAAGGAGGUUCUGAGGCAACAAGAGUGCACGUUCUCAGAUUAACAGGACAGUGAAUCAUGCUGGUUCUUUGCCUACCUUCACAGAAGGUUUUUUUUCAUAUUAAAAAAUUCCAUUCCAUAGGUACUGAUUUUAAUCACUAUCAUUGCCACUUUAUGAAUGCUUGAAUAAUAUUGCUGGAAUUUUUUGAAGAUUUAUAUUAUUUUAUGUUAAAAUAGUAGCCAAGUGGUAACCCUAAUCAUCUGUAGAAGUUCCUACGUGUAUGAACAACAGCUUGGAUCACACAAUACUGUCAAAGUUUAGAGGUGGGUGUUUCUAUGUAUCUGCAAAAGCACUGCCUACAAGGGAGGCUAAGGCUUGAGCAGACGUUAUAAUCUCAUCGCUCGUGUCCAUGGGGGAUUGGUUCCAAUAGCUCCCACAUAUGCUGAGAUUCUCAGAUGCUCAAGUCCCAUUGUUGACCCUCCAUAUCCAUGGAUUUCACAUCCGUGGAUUCAGCCAACCUUGGAUGGAAAUUUUGAUCUAUGGUUUGGUGAAUCCAUGGAUGCCAAGCCCAAGAAUACAGUGGGACAACUGUAUGUUUAUUUGAAAAAAACCUGCCCAUAAGUGGACCAGGACAGUACAAACCCAUGUUGGUCAAAAGUCUGCUGUAAUUCAUUAAGCUUGCCAACUUUGCCAUUUUGCCAUUAUUAACUGAACUUUACAAUCUUUUGAGGUUUCCAUUAUUUUAAAAUUUCUCGUGAAAUGGGUUAACACUAUUAAUCUAUAGCAAUGCACAGACCUGUACUUUCAUUUUCAAAGAGCACAACUGUACUUUAGUUACAGAUGGCUACAAUCUUAGCCAGUUACAUUUUCAAAAAGCAGAACAUUUCUCUAAAUGCUUAGGGUCAAGUACACUAAUGCCUGACAGUGUGUACUCUCAAUGGCUUGUGGCAAUUAUCUGAACCAUAUUUGCAAAUAUCAGCAUGUGAAUAAUGCUCACAUUUGGUCAUUAGCUGAGGGUGUUAUUGUCUUGGUUCACCUGCCAAAUGUGCAAUAAGGAAGGUCACCUUUAGACGGCUAUUAAAUAUUUUCCUUAAUGUUCCAUUAUUUCCAAGUCUGCGGCCACUGUUUUAUGCCAUGUGGUUAUCUUAAUGAAAUUACUGACUUACAGUUAUGAGGUGUCAUGUGGCAUGUCUAAUAUUUAAUGAAUGUCUGACAUGACUUGAAUGAUUUCUGUUCUUGUUGAAUUGACCAGUCAGGUCUCCUCAGUACAAGAUGUUCUGUGUUGUUCUGUAAUAGAAGUCACAGUAAAGAAGAGUGCCCUGGACUUGGUGAGACACGUAUGAAGGAAGUGACCAGUGUCCUCUCUGCACAGUUUGGUGGUGAAAUGGUAGUGCUCGGAGCCUGUGACCACUGUAUGGGACAAAGGUUUGGUUUGGUUUGGCUUGGUUUGGUUUUCAAUAAAGAGCACAUUGCCUCACACUUUUAAUUUCAAUUAAAAUGAAAUUUUGGAAUAUAAAAUUCCAUAAUUAUGGAAAUUGUGAAGCAAGUGUGGCUUACACAUUUAUGCGUGUUUGCUCACACUCAGCGUGAAUGGGACUGAAGGAGGGUCCCCACUGGAGGGACCGUUGGUUUUUCUGGUCGGUCUGGGGAAGAGGGGGUGGAGGAGGUAUGACUGUACCUUCUUUCCCUUUCUUUCUUCUGCACAUCACCUCAGCUUUCUUUUUCCUGCAUAAUGUGGUGGUCACAGGACCAGGGCUGCAAAUCCACCUGCCGAAGACAGAGACAAUGAGUCCAAGCAAGGAGCUGUAACUGUGCCUUUAAAUUCCAAAGAGCCUGCCAAGGAGGGUUGCGCCCUCGCCCAUCUGGCAGAACUGGGAUGACCGUGCGUGCAGCUGUACUGCCUGCUGGUCAGGGGGGCCCACUUGUUCGGCACCCACGUAACCUUACCCUGUGUGAAUGGGGUGGACUGAGGGGUAUACUUGCUAGACCAGCAGAGCGGCCAAGCCUAAAGUCCCUUCCAAAGGUGGAAAAGUUUGGACAUAGUUGAAGAGAAGGAGGAACAGUGGUUGAGGGUAAAGGAAUGAAUACACAGAUUAUUUAAUUAGGGAAAUCCAAUAUUACAUGAACACCUCAAGAGAGGCGCAGGGCAAGAGAUGAUAUUGUUUCGUAGCUCAGUUAUACUUGAUUCCUUGAAGGGUGAAGCUGUAUACUGCUGAGAUCGCAGCUGCUCUUGGAAGCUCAGAGACAGUUAGAGGGAAGAUGGCCUCAUUCAGGGCCCAUAUAGAAAUCAAAAGAACCAACAUUGUAGCUACCAAACGCACAUUCACAUUCUAACCAUGAUUUGGCUGCAGCAAAAUGACAUUUCUGUCAUGAUAAAUCAGUGUUGUUAAUUUACAUUUAUUUUAUUUGUAUAGAAUUUAAAAUUUUGCUUUUGUCUGAUUAGUGUUAUGUGAAUUAUAAGAAAUACUUUUCUUUUGUUACUCACUCAGCUAACAUUAAAACAAAAACAAUUAAUUCGUGUUGGCUGUCUGCUAGCAUAUUCUUCCCUUUAAAAGGACCUCGUACCUGUUACGGGUCGAAUUGUGUACCACCCAGAUCUCAUAGGUCGAAGUCCUAAUCCUCAGCACCUCAGAAUAUGACCUGACUUAGCAAUAGAAUUGGGGCAGGUGUAAUUAGCUAAGAUAAGGUCAUGAUGGAGUGGAGUGGGCUCCUGAUUCGGUAUGACUGGUGUCCCUGUAAACGGGGACAUUUGGACAUAGGCUCACAUACGGGAAGAAUGCCAUGUGAACAUGAAGACGGCCACCAACAAACCAACAAUAGGCACUCGGAGCAGAUCCUUCCCUCCUGUCCCUCAGGUGGAACCACCCUGCCACAUCUUGAUUUCAGACUUCUAGCCUCCCAGACCGUGAGACAAUAUGUUCCUGUUGUUUAAGCCAGCCAGCUCAUGGUACUCUGUUAUGGCAGCCCUCGCAGCCCUGGACUGAAGUUCUGAAAAAACUAAAGAAAAAUGAAAGGAAGUCAAGAAAUUAGUAAUACCACCGAAGAGGAAAAAAAUGGCCUCCAGAUUCCAUCAUUUCCUGUGCGUUGCCUUUGCUUGUUUCUAUGGCAAAUGAAAGCAGAAUGGAAAUUACUCACACUCCACCAGGAACCUGGAUGCAAACCCACUUGCAGAAGGGCCUUCAGGACUCGAGCAGCACAGGAGCUGAAGCUCACUCCAAGAGGGCAGCGUUGUCCCGCCGCAGUGUUGCAUAACUGAAGCACGGAGCCCCAGGGUUGUGGCACACGGAGACUAUAUAUGGUGCGUUUGAGAUCUGAAACGAUGACUUCUUUUUAGAAGACAGCAAACAGCAGAUCGGGGAGCAGUGAAGUUUCAGGAGCUUGCUGAAGAGCUUCCCAAGAGAGAAGUUCAUCUCCUCCGAAGGAAUAGACUUUGCCAUAUUUUUAUGGAGAGCAUCUUCUCUAAAGAAGGAGUCCUGUGUUUUCUGCUAGCAUCUGUGGAGUUGUAGCAGGCUCACUUAUUAGCCUGAAAAUAGGAUAACAUCUCAGAUCCUUCCAGUAAGUGAGAACAGUAAGGUAAGA